rnacentral:lncRNA from 1 species
AGCAGAACCCGCUGCCUCCAGGUCCGACCAGACCUGCAUAGGUAGAGAGUCCCCGCACAGGGCGGCCAGCAGAGCUACCCAGCUGCCCCAGGGCCUCGGGACCCCUGGGCCUGGGACCCAGGCCAGACCCUGACUCAUUCGGUGAUCUCACAGGACUCCUCCCACCCCAAGACCCUUUCAGGGACCCUGCCUCGAACUCCACGACAUGGGAGGCAGGGGCGGGCCUUUUGCAGGGGAAGGACUCCCCCAGCAGGACGUUUACUGAAUCUGGAGGGAGUCGCCCUGCAGAUAUCCCGCGGAAGCCGGAGGAGACCCAGGUGCGCCCCACCGGCUAGCUGCGCCUGCGGGUGCCCAAAUUGGUGUCCGGGCCAUCCUCACCGCAGUGACUCCUCCGCAGCGCCAACGCACUCCAUUUUCCUUCCACCCUGCCGGUGGGGGGCGUUUGCUUGUUCUCACUCUGCAGCCGCAGCCAGUGGCGCCGCUACCAAGGUCCCCGCCUCGCCAUCCGGGUCCUGCCUGAGCAUCCUUAUUGGUGCUCAGGGCUAGGCGUGCAUUGCUGCUAGGGGCGCGGAAAGGUUUAUCGUGGGUGGAUGCUGCCCGGGGCUUGAGUGGUUUUUAGAGGUCUUGAGUGGCUCACUCUCCAAUCAGCGCUUUCUAGAGACAGCGUGGUCAGCGUACUUGCUUACUUUCAGGAUUGCGAGACGUCUUUAACCCUUGCUGAUCGGCUGACGCUGCAGCUUCCUGUGGCUUCCUGCUCAUUUCCCGCAAGAUAGCACUGAUAGGGUAUUGGAAAUCCUUAUGUAAAGUAUCUGUUCACUGUUUUUGCCCAUUUUCUUGAUUUAUUUGAACUGAUUCUUCUAUUCUUUUGAAGUUAAUGUGUUGCAAUUUUCACAUCUAUGUUGUUUUUUCAUUAGUGGCAUUUCUCAACUCCUUGAUUUCUUGAAUUUCAUGUUGUCUAUUUCAGUAUGUAUUAAAUUAUCUGUGACGGU